rnacentral:rRNA from 1 species
CCUACGGGCGGCAGCAGUGGGGAAUAUUGCACAAUGGGCGAAAGCCUGAUGCAGCAACGCCGCGUGAAGGAAGAAGGGUUUCGGCUCGUAAACUUCUAUCAACAGGGACGAAAGAAAUGACGGUAACUGAAUAAGACGCCCCGGCUAACUACGGUCCAGCAGCCGCGGUAAUACGUAGGGGGCAAGCGUUAUCCGGAAUUACUGGGUGGAAAGGGUGAGUAGGCGGCAUGGUCAGCCAGAUGUGAAAGCCGUGGGCUUAACCAGAGGAUUGCAUAUGUUACUAUCAAGCUAGAGUACAGGAGAGGGAAGCGGAAUUCCUGGUGUAGCGGUGAAAUGCGUAGAUAUUAGGAAGAACACCAGUGGCGAAGGCGGCUUUCUGGACUGAAACUGACGCUGAGGCACGAAAGCGUGGGGAGCGAACAGGAUUAGAUACCCUAGUAGUC